AUCCUGGCUUAGGAUUAACGCUGGCGGCAUGCCUAAUACAUGCAAGUCGAAUGGUUAGCUUGCUAACCAUGGCGAACGGGUGAGUAACACGUAGGUAACCUGUCUUCAAGACGAGGAUAACCAUUGGAAACGAUGGAUAAUACUGGAUAGGACAAAUCCCCGCAUGAGGAGAUGUUUAAAGGAGCAAUCCACUUGAUGAGGGGCCUGCGGUGCAUUAGUUAGUUGGUGAGGUAACGGCCCACCAAGACGAUGAUGCAUAGCCGGACUGAGAGGUUGAACGGCCACAAUGGAACUGAGAACGGUCCAUACUCCUACGGGAGGCAGCAGUAGGGAAUUUUCGGCAAUGGGCGGAAGCCUGAACCCGAGCAAUGCCGCGUGAAUGAAGAAGUAUUUCGGUAUGUAAAGUUCUUUUAUUUGGGAAGAAAAAACAAAUUGACGGUACCAAAUGAAUAAGCUCCGGCUAACUACGUGCCAGCAGCAGC
rnacentral:rRNA from 1 species